GGUUGUUUGCCGUGUUACCGGGAGUUUGAUGGAUGCUCUCUCCGCAUUGAGCAGAGACACCGGCCUGGUGUAUGUCAGGCUGGUGCAGGGACUGGAGGUGGGGGAAGGCCAGUAGCCCCAGCGAAAAAACACAAAAGAAACGAGACUCUCGAUAACACCCAAGGGUUCGUGUUUACACAUUGAAGCCUUCGUACCAGUCACGACAAAAGUUAGUGACUCGUAAACCUACAUUCAGGAACAAGUUUUGGUCAGAGCUGGAGGGUGAGUGAACCCGGUGUCAACGACAGUUUCCGUGUCUACCAUUAAGUGUGACCGCCGGGUUCUGUUUUUUGUUUUGUUUUGUUGACGUUACUUACCGGCACCUGUGCGGAGGAGAGGAGGAGUCCCCCGAAAAAGCUGCCUGCAGUCACCGCGGCUGACGCUAACGCAGACGCUAACGGCAGUAAUUCCCACCAGGUCCUGGAGUUUAUAACCUGUUACCACACCAGAGAUUCUUUGUGUUUCUCAACAAGGCUCCCACAGAUGUGCUGGAGAGGCUCAAUCAUAAAGCCCUACUCUGCCCUGCGGAGGUUACUGUCAGCCCCUUCAGCUCUAGAUGAAAGGCUAAGGGAAAUGGCAGUCCUACUGGUAAUAUCCGCACUGGGACAUCUGCUGUCCAUCCGGCCUCUACACACGCCAGUUCCAAGGGGCCCAGGCUCAGUCCAGGACCUAGGGUGGGAAGAUCUAGGGUUGGAUCAGUUCUAACCAGCCUGGCAGAGCAUACAAGCACCAAAUCCCCCACCCAACCUCUCACGAUAGAGUGAAUCAUAGCAUUGUGUGUUGCAAUCGUCCUCUCUGAACCUCAGCCCUUAACAUAAUAUCCUCAUGUUAGCUGUACU